rnacentral:tRNA from 1 species
GGGUGUGUAGCUCAAUGGCAGAGCAGUAGCCUUUUAAGCUAUUGGUUAGAGGUUCGAGUCCUCUCACACUCACCA